rnacentral:misc_RNA from 1 species
GGCUUGUUUCAGAUGCUAUUUCAGAAAAAGUGGAUUCUUUAAGGAAAGGAAAGAGUGAGGUGAUUGAAAGUAAUCACAUUCUUGUUCUUGGAUGGAGUGAUAAAUUGGGGUCACUUUUGAAGCAGUUAGCGAUAGCAAACAAGAGCAUUGGUGGUGGUGUUGUCGUUGUUCUUGCGGAAAGAGACAAGGAGGAGAUGGAGCUGGACAUAGCAAAGUUAGAAUUUGAUUUCAUGGGAACUUCAGUUAUCUGCAGAAGUGGCAGUCCACUGAUACUUGCUGAUCUAAAAAAGGUGUGACUUGUGAGUGUAUCUUUUUU